AAAAGUCCUGCCGAGACCAAAUUAGUCUUCUGUAGGCCUCAGAUCCCUAAGCAUUAAGAUUUCCGUACUUUGCCUGGCUGCAGUCUUGCUGGAUCACGGACAUCCUUUCACCGGUUUUGGAGACCAGCAGAGGGAGGAGUGGAUUGGAGAGGCGGUGCGAUGCGUCAAGGGCGAGGCGAAGCGUAGUAACAUUUCACCAGAAGCGAGUUGUCAGUUCAACUGCAGAAGCUGCAAUGAGCGGCAGAGUCGGCGACCUUAGUCUGAAGCAGGCGGAAACUCUCGCUAAGUUCCGAGAGAAUAUUCAAGAUAUCUUGCCUAGUCUUCCUGUUCAGGAUGACCACUUCCUGCUGCGAUGGCUUAGAGCCAGGGGUUUCAAUCUUCAGAAAGCAGAGCAUAUGGUUCGCAAGCAUGUAGAGUUCAGAAGACAGAUGAAAGUUGACACACUCACUAGCAACUGGGAACCUCCUGAGGUUAUCACUCGUUAUUUUGCUGGAGGUAUGUGUGGCUAUGACAAAGAAGGCAGCCCUAUAUGGUAUGAUGUGAUUGGGCCUUUGGAUCCAAAAGGUUUGAUGCAUUCAGCUUCUAAACAGGAUUUUUUAAAAACAAAAAUCCGAGACUGUGAACUGCUGCGAGAAGAGUGUAUUAAACAAUCUAAAAAGCACGGGAAACAUAUUGAAGCAAUCACAAUGAUCUAUGACUGUGAGAAUUUAGGAUUGAAGCAUCUAUGGAAACCUGCGGUUGAACUGUAUGGAGAAGUACUUACCAUGUUUGAGGAUAAUUACCCUGAGGGGUUAAAGAUGUUGUUUGUUAUCAAAGCACCAAAAAUUUUCCCUGUGGCCUACAACCUUAUAAAACAUUUUCUUAGUGAAGACACGCGCAAGAAAAUUCAAGUUCUAGGUGGUAAUUGGAAGGAGGUGCUAUUACAGAAUAUUGAUGCUGAACAACUUCCUGUUUAUUAUGGUGGAACUCUCACAGAUCCAGAUGGCAAUCCUCGGUGUAAGUGCAAGAUAAAUCUUGGUGGUGAUGUACCAAAGUCAUAUUACAUCCUUGAAUCCAUUAAACAACAAUAUGAAAACACAGUCACUGUCAACAGGGGAUCUUCUUUUCAAUCUGAAUAUGAGAUCCUCUUCCCUGGCUGUGUUUUGAGGUGGCAAUUCAUGACUGAGAAUGCAGACAUUGGGUUUGGUGUAUAUCUGAAGACAAAGAUUGGAGAACGACAGAAGGCUGGUGAAAUGGUAGAAAUGGUCUCCAGCCAGCGAUACAAUAGUCACCUGGUGCCUGAGGAUGGAACACUUACCUGCAUGGAACCUGGAAUCUAUGUUUUAAGAUUUGACAAUACAUACAGCAUCAUUCAUUCCAAGAAGGUUAGCUACUCAGUGGAAGUGCUACUGCCAGAUAAGGGGUCAGAAGCACAGAUGGAUGAUCUUGGGAAGAAGAUAAAAGAAAUGGAUGUCAAUGAUAAAUAGGAACAUCAUGAUUAAAGGAGUCUGUAAGGCUGUUUUACAAUGAAUUGAUUUUAUUUUUUGUGCUGUGUAGACAGUGAAUGCAAUGGCAUGUUUUAAUGAUUGGCUAUUCUUGACAAACUAUCAUAGUGUGUACAUUUUGUCCUAAAUGAAAUGCUGUUGAAUAAUCUAUGGAUUAUCAUGAUCCAGCCAAAAUUGGAAUAAAUAAAUAGCUAAUUAUGCAUGUGUAGUGGUUGCUACCGCGAAAUAAAACAAGACGCUAGUCGGAGGAUUGUUGAACAAGAACUGGUUUAUUUUCCCGCCUUGCGCGGGCCCUUUAAGGGAAACUGUUCCCGCCCAAUCCAACCGGCAAUGACGUAAGUACUACGUCAUCAAGACUUUCCCGCGCGCGGGUUCUCCCCGUCGCUCGGGAAAGACGAGGCCCGCCGCCAUCUUGGGCCUCGUCACUCCGACGCCGUUCGACCCGACUGCCGAGCCGGUUCAACCGACUAAACGGUGAGUCGCCACACAUGCUACUUUUACCAUCAGUAGGGUCAUUGGGAUAUACCCAACUUUUUUGAAAAAGAUUCAGCAUUGAGUCUAUUAUUUAUACAUAAAUGGCCAAAUUAGUCUGGGGUUAUGGAUAUAUUCUAAUAUUUGGCUUCUGUACUGUUUAGUGCCAUAGUCAUAGAAUCAUACAGGAUUGAAAUAGGCUCUUCCAUCCAUUGAUUACCAAGCACCGAUCUGCAUCAAUCCCAUUUCCCCCUCUCAUUUCCCUUGGAGGUCAUACCUAUGGUACAUAUAUUCCAACAUAGAGAGACUUGCAAAGAUUGUUACUGAGUGAUGUAUUUUACUGUGUCAAACUAAAUGGGCAGUUAUUAGAGAGUCUUGUGGUACUAACUUUUAACAAAAGGUGUUACCACAAUUAGUUGUUUCAAAAUGUAGUUUAUAGAUUUCUAAUUACUUUUACAGUAAACAUAUCUUUCCACUUCUAAUUCUGGAUUGAUAGCAAACACUCCUAUUCACUGUCUCAUUUUAAUGCCUUUUAAUAUCCCUUAUCGCUGUCAAUAUCCAGAUCAUGAAUAAUUGUUGCUGCAAUGUCACACAAAAAAAUAGGAGCUGGAGUAGGCCACCUAGCCCCUUAGGCCUGUUCCACCAUUCAAUAAGUCAUGUCUGAUCUACCCCAGGCCACACCACCUCCUCUGUGCCAGGUCCCCUGAUUUAAAAAAAAAACAACCUCCAUUUUCAAUACUUAUAAUGAGCUAGCCUCCACAAGAAUUCCCUUGGGUAGAGAAUUCCAGAGAUUCACUACCCUCUGUGAGAAGGAAUGUCUACGUACCUUGGUCUUAUAUGACCAACCCCUUACCUCGAAACUAUGUCCCCUCGUUUGCGACUUUCCCACCAGUGAAAACUUUGAAAUGUUUUGAAUCUGUUGUGGUACCCACAGCUUGCAGUGUGAGAAAUUCUUGACUAUGUAUUCAAGAAUUAAAUCACUAUAUGUAUUGAAUUAACUCCAUAACAAGAUUGCAUUUUAUCUCUAGCUAGGGAUUAUUCCAAAUGGAGGACUCUAGUUCAGUAGUCAUUUAAAGCCUUCCGAACCAUCCUUUUAAGAAAAUGUAAGGAUGAUUUAUUUUUCCUUUCAGUUUGCUUCCUUGACACAUGUACUUACUGAGCUUCCUUUUCCUCCAUCCAGUAAGAAAUGAUAGUUGAGGGUGUGUAGAUCAGCACAAAUGCCAUUGAUAACUUCCAAAGACUGAAGCUUGAUUGAGACUCCAAAGAAAGCCAGGUUUUGCUUUGCAUUGAUAACUUGCAAAGACUGAAGCUUGAUUGAGACUCCAAAGAAAGCCAGGUUUUGCUUUGCACUAGAAGAAUAUCUAGCUUAGUGCUGAUCUGCAAUGAAUAGGCUGGCUAAGAUUGAAGUUUACUCAAGUGAAAUAACAGUGGACUGCCAUCGAUAACUCAAGUACUCAGUCUUUAAAACUGCAGCCACACCACUUUUGUUUAUCACUGUGAUUAAUCAUCACAACCAUGUAACUGCUGUUUGAUAUAAAUUAGCAACAAUGACCUGUACCUCUCCAAGAAAAAGCUCAUUUAAUUUGCUGGUGCUGCAUGUCAGGGCCAAAUUGUGAGUUUAUUUCUUUUUUUUUACAUUCUCAAUGGUUCAGGUCUUUCUUUGAGGAGUUUUCAAGUAUUCUCCCAAACAUACUGAGUUGGCUGAUCUCAUACCAGAAGAGGGUACCAGUUGUUUUGCUUUGGCCUCAUUGCUCUUCCAUUUGUUUUUCCUGCUAACCUUAUCUAGGCUCAUGAUUGAAUGACCCAUUGGGAUAAGGCACUGGAGAAUUGACAUCCAUGGUACUGUAUUCAACAUGCAUACACAUCAAGAAAUGGAAAAAAAAAAUGAACAGUAGGGACAUCAAAAACUAACACCUUUGCUCAGCAUAUGAAAGUUUCAUACCAGUCACCAUUGUCUUUAAAGAUACAAAAUAUUAAUAAUUUCCAGCUCUUCCUUCACCUGCCAGAAGCACUAACUUGGGUUAACAUUUUUCUAACCAUUCAUUUUCAAUGGCAAGUUCUCUCUGUGAGGACAACAUUUAUAUUAUUUAUGGCAGUAUCUUCUUUAAUUGGCAAUUACAUUCCAAAUUAACCAAAAUGUUGCUUCAGGUGAAUGAGUGCAGCAGAUUCACAACAGUUGGUUCUGCAUCAGUGUAUUGAUUUAAAGUUGCAGACAUGCGUUGCACAUUACUUGAUGGUCGCGUUAUUCAUAACUGUUUUCAUUCCAGUACCUCUGCUACUUGAAGUGCUAUUAAUUUUGGAGUUUAUUUAUUGCAAAAUCUACUACAGAAUAAGUACCUGAUAUUUAUGUCUAAACUGAUACUUUGUAAUUUAAUAUAAAGAUGAAUGAGUAAUUUGUAAUGAAGAAAUUUUUUAAAAAUUAGACUUCCGAACUUCUCCAGGUCUACUUUCUUACUUGACGAUAUGAAUGGAUUAAUGAACAUCAGAUAUUCAAUCGCCUUUAACUAAGACCUGGCAGUGGACUGCCAGUGAUUGCCCAAGUGCAGCAUCUUUGGGAACAGCUGGAAGACUGGGCAAGGAAGAGGAAACCAAUUGGUAAAGCACAAGGCUGAAUUUGUGAUGUAUUAUCUGAGGUGUUUCCUGUCAAAACAUUCCCACAUCGUCACAGGAGGAAGAAAGGAGGAAAUGAAUGUAUUCAGGUUGAUGGUCUUUCAUCAGAAUUAGGAAAAGUUAGAAAUAUGAUGGUGUUACGGACUCAAUGAAUGUCUCUUUAAGAUAGAGAGUGUGUGUGUGUGGGGCGUGCUUACGUCAAUAGAAGAUAAAGGACGUAAUGAUGUUGUUGAAGAAGAAGAAGGAGAGAGAGAGAGAAGGGAGAGAGACACCAGCCUGCUUGUUUUCUCUAUCGAUGGAUGAGAAACAAUAACUGUGUUUGCCACUGAAAUCCAUGUAUGGAAGUUGGAAGUAAUCCGGUGGAGUUCACUUUGUUGCUGACCUGUAGAAGGAAACGGGUAUUUGUGUGUGGACGACCACGGUUCGGAUGCUUUCGGGGUGAGGAAGUCACUACCGAGUAAACACUGAAGUGUCGUUUGGGUUCCAUCGAGGAACAUUUGGAUUUCGUAUGUACUCUCUCUAUGUUUUUCUACAUCUACAUCUUAUCUUCAGACAACGGUGGUUGUUGAAGAAGCCCUUGCUCAUGUUUCACCUUAUGGCUUGCGGAACUGAACUUUAAGAACCAUUCAGGAACUGGGAGUUUUGGACUUUGUCAUACACACACACGACGAGUUUAGUUUUGGGGUUAACGUUCGAGGUUUAACAUUCUUGAAUUCUAACAUACUAACAUUUUUACUUUUAUUUUACGUAUUAUCAUAAGUAGUGAUUAAUAAAAUAGUUUUUAACACUAAAUCAUGCUCAGUGUGUUUCUUUUGUUGCUGGUUCGUGACAAUGGG